rnacentral:tRNA from 1 species
UAUAUGAGUGCCAGAGCUAAGAUGGGUUGGUUUUAAGCAUCAAAUACGGGUGAUACCCCUCAUAUAU